rnacentral:rRNA from 1 species
AUUCCAGCUUCCACUAGGGAUAUAAAAUGUUGCCGUUGUAAAAACUCGUAGUGGAUCUUCGGUCCAGAGGAACGGGGCCCCCGAAGGGGGGGUUAUCACUUUGAAGACUACAAUUCAGGUAUUUCUGGGUUUUUCAACCGGGUGUCUAGAGCGAGUGCAACGGUUACUUUGAAAAAUUAGAGCGGGUCAAGCAGGGCUGUCAGCCUGGAAAGAGGUGCACAGAGAAAAAGAAGAGGGUCCUCUUAUAUUUUAUGGAGUAUGAGUGCGAUAAUGAGGGAUGGGGAUGGACGUGGGUUAUUGUCUUGCGACGUUAGAGAUGAUUUUAUUUAUGGAUGCAAGACAAUCAAACAGAAGGCACUCCCAGUAAUCACCUUCAAUCAAAAGGAAAGCGAGAGGAGCGAUCGAGAUCAGAUACGUAGGUAGUUCAGUAAGUAAAUGAACCAGCUAUCGAUCGACGGGAGUGAAUAGAUGCCUUGGGGGGCAGCUUCCAAAUAACAAAUUAUAGGGUUUUCCGGGGGAAUGAUGGCAAGAAAGAAGAAAAAAAAAAUAGUUGGAAGGGCACCACCAGGAGUGGAGCCUGCGGCUUAAUUUGAUUCAACACGGGGAAACUCUCCCCCGGCCCCAUAGGAAGGAUUGACACAGAAUAGCUCUCUCUCUUGAUUCGGUGGUUGGUGGUGCAUGGCCGUUUUUAGUUGGUGGAGCGAUUUGUCUGGUUAAUUCCGAUAACGAACGAGACUCUAACCUAAAUAACCCCAUGGAAUCUAUUGUGAACCAGACCCUUAGAGGGACUGUUGGCUAACAGCCAAUGUAGAAAGAGGCAAUACCAGUUUUGUGAUGCCCUUAGAUGUUGGGGCCCGCACCCGCGUUCCAUGGAGGGAUCCACGGAUUUCUUUCCUGGUCCGGAAAGACUGGGUAAUCUUGUGAAAUUCCGUCGUAAUGGGGAUAGAGCAUUGCAAUUAUUGCUCUUGAACGAGGAAUUCUCUAGUAAGUGCGCUCAUCAUGCUCGCGAUUCGA